rnacentral:rRNA from 1 species
GACGAACGCUGGCGGCGUGCCUAACACAUGCAAGUCGAACGGUGAAGCUCCAGCUUGCUGGAGUGGAUCAGUGGCGAACGCGUGAGUAACACGUGAGCAACCUGCUCCUGUCUCUGGUAUAAGCGCUGGAAACGGCGUCUACUACUGGAUCCGAGACGGGUCCGCAUUGGCACUUUCUGGAAAGUUGUUCGGUUGGGGAUGGGCUCGCGGCUUAUCAGCUUGUUGGUGGGGUAAUGGAUGACCAAGGCGACGACCGGUAGCCGGCCUGAGAGGGGGAACGGCCACACUGGUACUGAGGCAGGGCCCAGACUCCUACAUGAGACAACAGUGGGGAAUAUUACCCAAUGGGCGAAAGCCUGAUGCAGCGACGCCGCGUGAGUGAUGACGUCUUGCUGGUUGUAAACCUCUUUCAGCAGGGAAGAAGCGAAAGUGACGGUACCUGCAGAAGAAGCACCGGCUAACUACGUG